rnacentral:scRNA from 1 species
ACUGUGCCUGCUGUCACGCCCCCGGCUGGCUCUCUC